rnacentral:rRNA from 1 species
UACGAGGGGGGCGAGCGUUGUUCGGAAUUAUUGGGCGUAAAGGGUGCGUAGGCGGCCUGACAAGUCUGAUGUGAAAUCCCUGGGCUCAACCCCAGGGCCUGCAUCGGAAACUGUCGGGCUUGAGUAUGGGAGAGGUGAGUGGAAUUCCGGUGUAGCGGUGAAAUGCGUAGAUAUCGGAAGGAACACCUGUGGCGAAAGCGGCUCACUGGACCAUUACUGACGCUGAGGCACGAAAGCUAGGGAGCAAACAGG